rnacentral:rRNA from 1 species
UACGGAGGGGGCUAGCGUUGUUCGGAAUUACUGGGCGUAAAGGGCACGUAGGCUGGCUGUUAAGUCGGUGGUGAAAUCCCGAGGCUCAACCCCGGAACUGCCCUUGAAACUGCAGUGCUAGAAUUCUGGAGAGGCGAGUGGAAUUCCGAGUGUAGAGGUGAAAUUCGUAGAUAUUCGGAAGAACACCAGUGGCGAAGGCGACUCGCUGGACAGACAUUGACGCUGAGGUGCGAAAGCGUGGGGAGCAAACAGG